AACGCACAUUGCGCCCCCUGGUAUUCCGGGGGGCAUGCCUGUCCGAGCGUCAUUGCAUCCCUCAAGCGCGGCUUGGUGUUGGGUGACCGUCCCCCGGGACGCGCCCCAAAUGCAUUGGCGGCACCGGCCCGGUGUCCGGAGCGUAUGGGACUUCCGUCACGCCCGUAGGACCCGGCCGGCGCUGGCCGCUCGAUCGCAGAUCAUCUUCGGGUUGACCUCGGAUCAGGUAGGGAUACCCGCUGAACUUAA
rnacentral:misc_RNA from 1 species